CCUACGGGAGGCAGCAGUGAGGAAUAUUGGUCAAUGGAGGCAACUCUGAACCAGCCAUGCCGCGUGAAGGAUGAAGGUCCUCUGGAUUGUAAACUUCUUUUAUUGGGGAAGAAACCCGCGUUUUCUAAUGCGGUUGACGGUACCCAAGGAAUAAGCACCGGCUAACUCCGUGCCAGCAGCCGCGGUAAU
rnacentral:rRNA from 1 species